GACGAACGCUGGCGGCGUGCCUAAUACAUGCAAGUAGGACGCAGUUGCGAACGGGUGAGUAACGCGUAGGUAACUACCUAUUAGAGGGGGAUAACUAUUGGAAACGAUAGCUAAUACCGCAUACUAGUAGCUGGACCUACGUUGUAUUAGGUAGUAGGUAGGGUAAUGGCCUACCUAGGCAACGAUACAUAGCCGGCCUGGGACGGUGAUCGGGCCACCUGGGACGGAGACACCGGCCAGACUCCGACGGGAGGCAGCAGUAGGGAAUCUUCGGGAAUGGGGGGAACCCUGACCGGGCAACGCCGCGUGAGGUAAGGAGGGUUUCGGAUCGGAAAGCUCUGUUGUUAAGGAAGCGGUACUUAACCAGAAAGCGACGGCUAACUACGUGCCAGCAGCCGCGGUAAUAC
rnacentral:rRNA from 1 species